rnacentral:lncRNA from 1 species
GAGUUCAACCAUAUGUAACACUUAGUAUUAUUUUUAUCUUACCACAAAGGUAUUAAAUAAAUAAAACUUCUGAGUGCCAAAAACUAAUCCAGUAAACAAACAUAAAUAGUCGAGGCCAUCCAGCUCCUCGACAAUAUGCAUUUGGUCAGAGGGCUCAAGAGGAAGAUCCAGUUGGUGAAGUGAUAGUAGGUUAGGUACAAAGCAGAGUACAGUGCGGCAGUUAUACACGUCAAGAUUUGUGUAACUAAGUUAUUAGAGUCUACGGAUCGCUACAAUUAACUUGGACCUUGUUAGGGUGUGGGAAAUUUCCCCAUAUUCCCUCCUCGUAGAUCCACCACUGGUGCUUGCUAUGAUCCAUGUUAGAUUGAGGGUAGAGAAAAAACUUGACGUGGUAGAGAAAAACUACAAUUUUGAAACCAGAAUGCUUGAAUACCUAUAGAACAGCUCAGAAAUCAAACUCAACAGAAUAUUUUUUCCAAAUUGAUCCCCAGUGUUAAUAAAUAUAAUGAAAAUU